AUGGCCGACGACGACAGCGGGAGCCCCCGGGGCGGCGGCGGGGUCAGGGAGCAGGACCGCUUCCUCCCCAUCGCCAACAUCAGCCGCAUCAUGAAGAAGGCCGUGCCGGCCAACGGCAAGAUCGCCAAGGACGCCAAGGAGACCCUCCAGGAGUGCGUCUCCGAGUUCAUCUCCUUCGUCACCAGCGAGGCCAGCGACAAGUGCCAGAAGGAGAAGCGCAAGACCAUCAACGGGGACGAUCUGCUCUGGGCCAUGGCCACGCUCGGAUUCGAGGAGUACGUAGACCCCCUCAAGAUCUACCUGCAAAAGUACAGAGAUAUGGAGGGUGAUAGUAAAUUGACCUCAAAAUCUGGUGAAGGAUCCGUGAAGAAAGAUAUAAUUGGUGCUCAUAGUGGUGCGACUAGCUCAAACGCCCAAGCGAUGGUUCAGCAUGGAGCUUACGCCCAAGGGAUGGGUUAUAUGCAACCCCAGUACCAUAAUGGGGACACCUGA
rnacentral:rRNA from 1 species